rnacentral:rRNA from 1 species
AGGGAAUCUUCCACAAUGGACGAAAGUCUGAUGGAGCAACGCCGCGUGAGUGAUGAAGGGUUUCGGCUCGUAAAACUCUGUUGUUGGAGAAGAACAGGUGAUAGAGUAACUGUUAUCAUCUUGACGGUAUCCAACCAGAAAGCCACGGCUAACUACGUGCCAGCAGCCGCGGUAAUACGUAGGUGGCAAGCGUUGUCCGGAUUUAUUGGGCGUAAAGCGAGCGCAGGCGGUUUUUUAGGUCUGAUGUGAAAGCCUUCGGCUUAACCGGAGAAGGGCAUCGGAAACCGGGAGACUUGAGUGCAGAAGAGGACAGUGGAACUCCAUGUGUAGCGGUGAAAUGCGUAGAUAUAUGGAAGAACACCAGUGGCGAAGGCGGCUGUCUGGUCUGUAACUGACGCUGAGGCUCGAAAGCAUGGGUAGCGAACAGGAUUAGAUACCCUGGUAGUCCAUGCCGUAAAACGAUGAGUGCUAAGUGUUGGAGGGUUUCCGCCCUUCAGUGCUGCAGCUAACGCAUUAAGCACUCCGCCUGGGGAGUACGACCGCAAGG